UACGUAGGUGACAAGCGUUGUCCGGAUUUACUGGGCGUAAAGAGCGCGCAGGCGGUCGAUCAAGUCGAGUGUGAAAGCCCCCGGCUCAACUGGGGAGGGUCAUUCGAUACUGAUCGACUCGAAGGCAGGAGAGGGUAGUGGAAUUCCCGGUGUAGUGGUGAAAUGCGUAGAUAUCGUCAAGAACACCUAUUGCGAAGGCAGCUAACUAGCUUUAACUGACGCUGAGGCACGAAAGUGUGGGGAUCAAACAGG
rnacentral:rRNA from 1 species